GACGGAAGGUGCAAGCGUUGCUCGGAAUCACUGGGCGUAAAGGGUGCGUAGGCGGCCGUGCAAGUCUGUCGUGAAAUCCCCGGGCUUAACCUGGGAAUGGCGAUGGAGACUGCGAGACUAGAGUUUGGCAGAGGGGGGUAGAAUUCCACGUGUAGCAGUGAAAUGCGUAGAGAUGUGGAGGAACACCGAUGGCGAAGGCAGCCCCCUGGGUCAAAACUGACGCUCAUGCACGAAAGCGUGGGGAGCAAACAGG
rnacentral:rRNA from 1 species